UACGGGGGGGGCGAGCGUUGUUCGGAAUUACUGGGCGUAAAGGGCGCGUAGGCGGCCAGCACAAGUCAGUUGUGAAAUCUCCGAGCUUAACUCGGAAAGGUCAACUGAUACUGUGCGGCUAGAGUGCGGAAGGGGCAACUGGAAUUCUUGGUGUAGCGGUGAAAUGCGUAGAUAUCAAGAGGAACACCUGCGGCGAAGGCGGGUUGCUGGGCCGACACUGACGCUGAGGCGCGAAAGCCAGGGGAGCGAACGGG
rnacentral:rRNA from 1 species